UACGUAGGGACCGAGCGUUGUCCGGAUUCAUUGGGCGUAAAGAGCUCGUAGGCGGCUAUUCAAGUCGAACGUGAAAACUCGGAGCUCAACUCCGAGCCUGCGUUCGAUACUGGACGGCUAGAGUCUGGUAGGGGGAUCUGGAAUUCCUGGUGUAGCGGUGGAAUGCGCAGAUAUCAGGAGGAACACCGGUGGCGAAGGCGGGAUCCUGGGCCAGUACUGACGCUGAGGAGCGAAAGCGUGGGGAGCAAACAGG
rnacentral:rRNA from 1 species